CCAGUAAACGGCGGCCGUAACUAUAACGGUCCUAAGGUAGCGAAAUUCCUUGUCAGGUAAGUUCUGACCCGCACGAAUGGUGUAAUGAUUUGGGCACUGUCUCAACAGCCCGCCCGGCGAAAUUGUAGUACCGGUGAAGAUGCCGGUUUCCCGCGACAAGACGGAAAGACCCCAUGGAGCUUUACUGCAGCCUAAUAUUGGGUUUCGAUAUUACAUGUACAGGAUAUGUGGGAGACAUGGAAGCACGGGCGUCAGCCUGUGUGGAGUCAGCCUUGGGAUACCACACUUGUGAUAUUGGAAUUCUAACCUGCGACCCUGAAUCGGGUCGGGGGACAUUGUUAGGCGGGCAGUUUGACUGGGGCGGUCGCCUCCGAAAAAGUAACGGAGGCGUUCAAAGGUUGGCUCAGCUUGGACGGAAACCAAGCCAAAGAGUGCAAACGCAUAAGCCAGCCUAACUGCGAGACUGACGGGUCGAGCAGUAACGAAAGUUGGAGUUAGUGAUCCGGCGGUAUGUGAGUGGAAAUGCCGUCGCUCAACGGAUAAAAGUUACCCUGGGGAUAACAGGCUGAUCUCCCCCAAGAGUCCACAUCGACGGGGAGGUUUGGCACCUCGAUGUCGGCUCAUCGCAUCCUGGGGCUGUAUUCGGUCCCAAGGGUUUGGCUGUUCGCCAAUUAAAGCGGUACGCGAGCUGGGUUCAGAACGUCGUGAGACAGUUCGGUCCCUAUCUGUCGUGGGCGCAGGAUAUUUGAAAGGCGCUGUCCCUAGUACGAGAGGACCGGGAUGGACGAACCUCUGGUGCACCAGUUGUCACGCCAGUGGCACAGCUGGGCAGCUAUGUUCGGAUCGGAUAAACGCUGAAAGCAUCUAAGCGUGAAGCCGGCCUGGAGAUAAGAUAUCCCACUGAGAUAAUCAGGUAAGACCCCUUGAAGACUACAAGGUUGAUAGGCUCAAAGUGUAAGCACGGUGACGUGUUCAGCUAGCGAGUACUAAUCGGUCGAGGGCUUGACCAC
rnacentral:rRNA from 1 species